GUUGUAGCUCAAGUGGUUGAUUCC
rnacentral:siRNA from 1 species